GGCUGAAGUAUUGAAAUAUAAGAUAUUAUUAGUGGAUUGCAAAUCCGCCUACGCCGGUUCGAUUCCGACCUCGGCCUCCA
rnacentral:tRNA from 1 species